rnacentral:lncRNA from 1 species
GGAGCCUUUGAAUUUUUUAAAAGACCAUAGUAAUCAGAUCUACUUGAAAAAUUAAGUGAAUUGAUUUGGUUGGAAUGCUCUUUUACCGAUGCUUUAACAUACAGCCACUAGGGAAGUGGUAUGAUGUAUGUUCUCCACAGGAAAUGGAAAACAUUCCCAGAAGUUGUGCAUGAGUUCCUGUGAGGAGAGUUGGCAUCUUGGAAAUCAAAGACGGUUGUGAUGCAGUUUUUUGAUAUGAGGAUAACAGG